AACGAACGCUGGCGGCAUGCCUAACACAUGCAAGUCGAACGAAGCCUUCGGGCUUAGUGGCGCACGGGUGCGUAACGCGUGGGAAUCUGCCCUUGGGUUCGGAAUAACAGUUAGAAAUGACUGCUAAUACCGGAUGAUGUCUUCGGACCAAAGAUUUAUCGCCCAAGGAUGAGCCCGCGUCGGAUUAGCUAGUUGGUGAGGUAAAGGCUCACCAAGGCGACGAUCCGUAGCUGGUCUGAGAGGAUGAUCAGCCACACUGGGACUGAGACACGGCCCAGACUCCUACGGGAGGCAGCAGUGGGGAAUAUUGGACAAUGGGCGAAAGCCUGAUCCAGCAAUGCCGCGUGAGUGAUGAAGGCCUUAGGGUUGUAAAGCUCUUUUACCCGGGAUGAUAAUGACAGUACCGGGAGAAUAAGCCCCGGCUAACUCCGUGCCAGCAGCCGCCGUAA
rnacentral:rRNA from 1 species